rnacentral:rRNA from 1 species
UACGGAGGGUGCAGGCGUUAUCCGGAUUCACUGGGUUUAAAGGGUGCGUAGGUGGCUUUGUAAGUCAGUGGUGAAAUACCGCAGCUCAACUGCGGAACUGCCAUUGAUACUGCUUAGCUUGAAUCAGGUCGAGGUGGAUGGAAUAUUACAUGUAGCGGUGAAAUGCUUAGAUAUGUAAUAGAACACCGAUUGCGAAGGCAGUUCACUAGGCCUGAAUUGACACUGAGGCACGAAAGCGUGGGGAUCAAACAGG